GUUUCCAAAAGGUCUCCACGCCCCUUUGGGUGGAAAACAGCCACUGUUCAUUCCCGCGUUCACAUCCAAAGAGGAAGCCUUUAGAUUCAGGUGACAAGAACAGAAUAUGGGCUUUUCAUACCACACACAUAUAUUUCCUAUUUCUCAGGAAUGGUGCUGUGUCAUUACUAUGCACAAAUCGGAUUCUUCAAGAAAAUUGUUUUUUAGGCCAAGCAUGGUGGCUCACGCCUGUAAUCCCAGCACUUUGGGAGGCCGUGGCAGGUGGAUCACGAGGUCAGUAGUUCGAGACCAGCCUGGCCAACAUGGUGAAAUCCCAUCUCUACUAAAAAUACAAAAAUUAGCCGAGCGUGGUGGCACACGCGUGUAAUCCCAGCUACUCAGAAGGCUGAGGCAGAAGAAUCGCUUGAACCCGGGAGACGGAGGUUGCAGUGAGCCGAGAUCGCACCAUUGCACUCCAGCCUGGGUGACAGGGCAAGACUCCGUCUCAAAACAAACAAACAAAAAAUGUUUUUAAAUACUGGUGUAAUUACCCCAAAAAAGGCCUAAGGAGGCCUGCAGCCCGCCUCAUGCAUGCGACAUUUAGCCUUAACAGCUUCACCAGCCCUCGGCCCUGUUUGCCACAGAAAAGCUGAAACCGCAGGUUUCUGAGUCAAUUUACAGCGCCCAAUCCCUGACCUGCCCUCUUCCUGAGAGAGCCAACCAGAGGCCUCCAAGGCCCUGCCAAGGGAACUCUGACCGGAAGAGCAUCUCUGAGGCCUGCGCACAACACAAAACACCUAAGCAAGCCCAACUUGUGUCCUUGGUCUGAAGUCACAUCCUGAAAAGCCUGGUUAAACCAGAAAUGAAACAUACAUGGUUUCCCAAUGCUUCCCCUUCUGAGUCUCCAGUGAGGACAAGAUCGCCAUGAGGUUUUGUCUCCCUCUCCCAGUAACAGUAACAAGUGAAACAGGCAACUGGAUAUCCGGCAGGAUCUUGGCUCCAGCCUCGGGUUGGUUCACGGAGCUUCUGUCUUCACCACGGAGGCCUCUGCCGAUUCGCAGGGCAGGUCCACAUCUGACCGGUUCCACCACGACUGCUCCACAGCCACGGUCACCCGGGAGGCCCUGAGGAACUGCUCUUUGGUGAUUUCAGGAGGUUAUUUCCCUGCACAUUUGCACAGAUUCAGGACAAAACCCAACACUGCGGAGCCAGACAGUCUUCCUCUUGUUGGGGCAUGUGAAGGGGCCACUGGCCUCUGGGUGGGACACUGAUCCUAGAGAGGCCCACCUGCCCCUCUUGGACAAGCCCCACCCAGGUCCAGGAAUUCUGCUCAACCUCUCUGGUUCCCAGUCACCCCCAGGACUGACAGAGGGUAGAAAGUGUCCUAUCUUCCAGGACACAUGGUAUCCACUAGAUCUCAGGAGUUCAGAAGUAGUUAUUUUAUAAACUCAGAGUUUAAGAAGAUUUCUCAGGACGUGUCAGGCAACAUGGUACACGCACAGAACCCCAAAGGAGCAUCUCUCAGAAUCUCCCUCAAGUACACGCAACGUAAAUGAUCACUGAGAUGGACAAUUUCAAAUCUGAACCCAGUAUCUGGAAUGCAAUUUUCCACCUGAAAUUGGCAUAUCAUCUGCACUCACUGCAGCCUGGAAGGCAUCUACCCAUUGAGCAUCAGGACAUCCCAGGUUCCUCCUGAAAACGUCACCCACCUUUAAGGGUUCUGACAAAGUGUCUGAAGAGCUCUCGAUAGGAGUCCUGGUAGCGGCUAGCCUGGGUCUGGGAGCGAAGGGACAGGGACAUGCCGCGCCCGGUGAUGCCCAAGGAAUUCUGAUUCUCCAUCUGCAGCAUGCCUUGGGACCCACACACCCAGCUAACGACCUCUAUCUAACCUGCGGAAUCAACCCGGCUGACGAUCUCUAUCUAACCCACACAAUCAACCCGGCUGAUGACCUCUAUCUAACCCACACAAUCAACCCAGCUGAUGAUCUCUAUCUAACCCACACAAUCAACCUGGCUGAUGACCUCUAUCUAACCUGCACAAUCAACCCAGCUUUUCACAGUGGACUGGCGAAGGGUGGAAAAGGGCAGGCGUCACCUCCAGUCUCUGGUUGCAGCUGUCUGUGCAGUGCUGGCUGACAUCCUGGUCGCAGCUGUGUGUGCAGUGCUGGCUGACGUCCUGGUUGCAGCUGUCUGUGCAGUGCUGGCUGACGUCCUGGUCGCAGCUGUCUGUGCAGUGCUGGCUGAUGUCCACGCUGACCACAGCCUCACAGGGAAACUUCAUGCUGAUCACAACAGCAUCUGCAUCUUUU
rnacentral:lncRNA from 1 species